rnacentral:rRNA from 1 species
AGCGAACGCUGGCGGCAGGCCUAAAACAUGCAAGUCGAACGCCGUAGCAAUACGGAGUGGCAGACGGGUGAGUAACACGUGGGAACGUACCCUUUGGUUCGGAACAACACAGGGAAACUUGUGCUAAUACCGGAUAAGCCCUUACGGGGAAAGAUUUAUCGCCGAAGGAUCGGCCCGCGUCUGAUUAGCUAGUUGGUGAGGUAACGGCUCACCAAGGCGACGAUCAGUAGCUGGUCUGAGAGGAUGAUCAGCCACACUGGGACUGAGACACGGCCCAGACUCCUACGGGAGGCAGCAGUUAGGAAUCUUGGACAAUGGGCGCAAGCCUGAUCCAGCCAUGCCGCGUGAGUGAUGAAGGCCUUAGGGUUGUAAAGCUCUUUCAGCGGGGAAGAUAAUGACGGUACCCGCAGAAGAAGCCCCGGCUAACUUCGUGCCAGCAGCCGCGGUAAU